rnacentral:rRNA from 1 species
AUUGAACGCUGGCGGCAGGCCUAACACAUGCAAGUCGAGCGGAUGAAGGGAGCUUGCUCCUGGAUUCAGCGGCGGACGGGUGAGUAAUGCCUAGGAAUCUGCCUGGCAGUGGGGGAUAACGUCCGGAAACGGGCGCUAAUACCGCAUACGUCCUGAGGGAGAAAGUGGGGGAUCUUCGGACCUCACGCUAUCAGAUGAGCCUAGGUCGGAUUAGCUAGUUGGUGGGGUAAAGGCCUACCAAGGCGACGAUCCGUAACUGGUCUGAGAGGAUGAUCAGUCACACUGGAACUGAGACACGGUCCAGACUCCUACGGGAGGCAGCAGUGGAGAAUAUUGGACAAUGGGCGAAAGCCUGAUCCAGCCAUGCCGCGUGUGUGAAGAAGGUCUUCGGAUUGUAAAGCACUUUAAGUUGGGAGGAAGGGCAGUAAGUUAAUACCUUGCUGUUUUGACGUUACCAACAGAAUAAGCACCGGCUAACUUCGUG